rnacentral:rRNA from 1 species
UACGGAGGGUGCAAGCGUUGUCCGGAUUUAUUGGGUUUAAAGGGUGCGUAGGCGGCUUGAUAAGUCCGUGGUGAAAGCCAACAGCUCAACUGUUGAACUGCCAUGGAUACUGUCAGGCUUGAGUACAGACGAGGUAGGCGGAAUGGAUCGUGUAGCGGUGAAAUGCAUAGAUACGAUCCAGAACUCCGAUUGCGAAGGCAGCUUACUAGGCUGUAACUGACGCUGAGGCACGAAAAGCGUGGGGAGCGAACAGG